CCGAGUAGGAGUGAGAGUCA
rnacentral:misc_RNA from 1 species